CGGAUUGAAGCAAUUGUGAGUGAGCGGCGGACGGGUGAGUAACGCGUGGGUAACCUGCCUCAUACAGGGGGAUAACAGUUGGAAACGGCUGCUAAUACCGCAUAAGCGCACAGUACCGCAUGGUACCGUGUGAAAAACUCCGGUGGUAUGAGAUGGACCCGCGUCUGAUUAGCUAGUUGGUGGGGUAACGGCCUACCAAGGCGACGAUCAGUAGCCGACCUGAGAGGGUGACCGGCCACAUUGGGACUGAGACACGGCCCAAACUCCUACGGGAGGCAGCAGUGGGGAAUAUUGCACAAUGGGGGAAACCCUGAUGCAGCGACGCCGCGUGAGCGAUGAAGUAUUUCGGUAUGUAAAGCUCUAUCAGCAGGGAAGAAAAUGACGGUACCUGACUAAGAAGCCCCGGCUAACUACGUGCCAGCAGCCGCGGUAAUACGUAGGGGGCAAGCGUUAUCCGGAUUUACUGGGUGUAAAGGGAGCGUAGACGGCAUGGCAAGCCAGAUGUGAAAGCCCGGGGCUCAACCCCGGGACUG
rnacentral:rRNA from 1 species